GGGAGCGUACUGGUUUCGACGGGGUUAUUGCAACUUGAGAAGCGGGUAGAGGAUUCUCGUUGGCCUCUUAAAAAAGCGAGAAACUUUUAAAUGCCAAUAAACCGGCACUCGCCGCAGCAUAGUAGCUGUAGCCGUCACCUCUGAAAAUCUGCCAACAGAAUCAGUGACGUCAU
rnacentral:tmRNA from 1 species